rnacentral:sRNA from 1 species
AUGUACCAUUCAUACACUGCGGUUCCUACGCGCCGCCCGCACUCACCUGACGACUGCUCGCUACGUUUUGUUGGCC